rnacentral:rRNA from 1 species
CGCGUACACUACCUACCUUACACAGGAGAAUAGCCUUUGGAAACGAAGAUUAAUGCUCCAUGGUACCGUUUACGGUUAAAGCUCCGGCGGUGUAAGAUGGGUGUGCGUGCCAUUAGCUAGUUGGUAAGGUAACGGCUUACCAAGGCUACGAUGGCUAAGGGGCGUGAGAGCGUGAACCCUCACACGGGUACUGAGACACGGACCCGACUCCUACGGGAGGCAGCAGUAAGGAAUAUUGGUCAAUGGACGCAAGUCUGAACCAGCCAUCCCGCGUGCAGGAUGACGGCCCUACGGGUUGUA